GUGGGGAAUUUUGGACAAUGGGCGCAAGCCUGAUCCAGCAAUGCCGCGUGCAGGAUGAAGGCCUUCGGGUUGUAAACUGCUUUUGUACGGAGCGAAACGGCCUUUUCUAAUACAAAAGGCUAAUGACGGUACCGUAAGAAUAAGCACCGGCUAACUACGUGCCAGCAGCCGCGGUAAUACGUAGGGUGCGAGCGUUAAUCGGAAUUACUGGGCGUAAAGCGUGCGCAGGCGGUUUUGUAAGACAGAUGUGAAAUCCCCGGGCUCAACCUGGGACCUGCAUUUGUGACUGCAAGGCUAGAGUACGGUAGAGGGGGAUGGAAUUCCGCGUGUAGCAGUGAAAUGCGUAGAUAUGCGGAGGAACACCGAUGGCGAAGGCAAUCCCCUGGACCUGUACUGACGCUCAUGCACGAAAGCGUGGGGAGCAAACAGGAUUAGAUACCCGAGUAGUCC
rnacentral:rRNA from 1 species